UACGUAGGGUGCAAGCGUUGUCCGGAAUUAUUGGGCGUAAAGAGCUCGUAGGCGGUCUGUCGCGUCGGCUGUGAAAACCCGAGGCUCAACCUCGGGCCUGCAGUCGAUACGGGCAAACUAGAGUACUGCAGGGGAGACUGGAAUUCCUGGUGUAGCGGUGGAAUGCGCAGAUAUCAGGAGGAACACCGGUGGCGAAGGCGGGUCUCUGGGCAGUAACUGACGCUGGAGGAGCGAAAGCCGUGGGGAGCGAACAGG
rnacentral:rRNA from 1 species